rnacentral:rRNA from 1 species
UACGAAGGGGGCUAGCGUUGUUCGGAAUCACUGGGCGUAAAGCGCACGCAGGCGGAUCGAUAAGUCGGGGGUGAAAGCCCGGGGCUCAACCUCGGAAUUGCCUUCGAUACUGUCGGUCUCGAGUCCGGGAGAGGUGAGUGGAAUUCCUAGUGUAGAGGUGAAAUUCGUAGAUAUUAGGAAGAACACCAGUGGCGAAGGCGGCUCACUGGCCCGGUACUGACCCUCAGGCGCGAAAGCGUGUGGAGCAAACAGG